rnacentral:misc_RNA from 1 species
GGCAACGGCGUGUCGGCUUCGGUCGCUGUUGAAGACAACCGUGUCAUCAAUCGCGCUCCGAUCUUCAACGGCGCGAAUGCAUCGACCGCGGCCCAGUUCUUCACCGGCGCCUACACCAACGCGUCCGGCGGUCAGGCUUCGCCUGAUUUCGUCGGCAACGUUCGCAUCGACCAGGCGGCCUUCACCGCCCAGUUGUCGGGCGGUCUGCANNNNNNNNNNCAUUCGCGCCAACUACUAUGGCGCGACGGAACCCACCGGCCAUCCAAGCGAUGAAUGGGGC